CACAAGGUCUCACCCGGUUUAACUUAUUAAGCUUUCUUCUGCUGCUGGAUUGCAGUUACCAUGAGGAAAAGGAUUAUAUUCUUUUAUCCAGCUCAUGACCCACAUAAGAUCUGCCAAUUUGAUACAAUUGCAAAGCAAACUCUCUACUGGUAUAUUUCAAAGAACUUGACAAGCUUAUUUUAGACGAUUUAAGGAAUCGAAGAGACCUAAGAAACUUAAGACACUGAUAAAGAAGAAUGAUCAGAUUCCCAUCAUGGCCAAUUUCAUGUUGCCAAGGAGUCCCCGAACAAGAAGUGGAGGAGAUACACAGGCCAGCAUGGCCUGACACUUGCACAUUACUGGAUGUUGUACGCCAGGCCAUAUAUCUAUUGCCAUUUGUGGGGCCACCACAAUGCACUGAGACAACCUUCAACUACAAGGACGGCAGUUAGUCAGCAGCCGUGCUCCAGAACCAUCAUAUUUGUGCAGAGGACAUACCUCUUAGGAUGACGCCCAGCCAAUGGCCAGACGGCAGGGAUGCUAAGGCAAGCCUAUUCCUGGAAGAUUUGAAAUGCCCUCUGACAACACACUUUGACUCAAGUACUUCGCAAUGGCUUUGCCAGACCUUUUCUUUGGCCCCUUCGCUAUAUGAGACACUUCUGCCUUAUCCCUGUUUCCUCUCUCCCUUUAAUUUAAGGACAGACCUGCACUGAAUUCUCAUGGUUCUCCCAGUCUUUCCCAUUUUCUUUCAUAGGUAUUUCCCCUAAUAAAAUCCGUGCAUGCUUAA